rnacentral:rRNA from 1 species
GAUGAACGCUGGCGGCGUGCCUAAUACAUGCAAGUCGAGCGAACAGACGAGGAGCUUGCUCCUCUGACGUUAGCGGCGGACGGGUGAGUAACACGUGGAUAACCUACCUAUAAGACUGGGAUAACUUCGGGAAACCGGAGCUAAUACCGGAUAAUAUAUUGAACCGCAUGGUUCAAUAGUGAAAGACGGUUUUGCUGUCACUUAUAGAUGGAUCCGCGCCGCAUUAGCUAGUUGGUAAGGUAACGGCUUACCAAGGCGACGAUGCGUAGCCGACCUGAGAGGGUGGUCGGCCACCCUGGAACUGAGCCACGGUCCAGGCUCCUACGGGAGGCAGCAGUCGGGAAUCUUCCGCAAUGGGCGAAAGCCUGACGGAGCAACGCCACGUGAGUGAUGAAGGUCUUCGGAUCGUAAAACUCUGUUAUUAGGGAAGAACAAAUGUGUCAGUAACUAUGCACGUCUUGACGGUACCUAAUCAGAAAGCAACGGCUAACUACGUG